rnacentral:rRNA from 1 species
AAUAGAUACCCGGGUAGUCCUAGCUGUAAACGGUGCGCAUUUGCUGUAAACGGAAUCGACCCCGUUUGUGGCGAAGCUAACGCGAUAAAUGCGCCGCCUGGGAAGUACGGUCGCAAGAUUAAAACUCAAAGAAAUUGACGGGGGCCUGCACAAGCGGUGGAGUAUGUGGCUUAAUUCGAUGCAACGCGAAGAACCUUACCUGGCCUUGACAUGCAAGUAGUAGAACCAUGAAAGUGGGACGAUCCCGCAAGGGAAGCUUGCACAGGUGCUGCAUGGCUGUCGUCAGCUCGUGUCGUGAGAUGUUGGGUUAAGUCCCGCAACGAGCGCAACCCUUGUGUCCUGUUGCCACUCCUUCGAGAGAAGGAAGCACUCUGGACAGACUGCCUCGCUUAAACGAGGAGGAAGGUGGGAUGACGUCAAGUCAGUAUGGCCCUUACGGCCAGGGCUGCACACGUACUACAAUGCAUGGCACAAAGGGAAGCUAGACCGUCAGGUGGAGCAAAUCCCAUAAAACCAUGCCC